rnacentral:rRNA from 1 species
AAGUUAAACGGCUGCAGUACUCUGACUGUGCAAAGGUAGCAUAAUCAUUUGUUCAUUAAUUGUGGACUGGCAUCAACGGCUAGACGACAAGAAAGCUGUCUCUUUGUAUAUUAGCUGAACCUAAUAUUAGGGUGAAGAAGCCUUAAUUAUUGAGCGGGACGAGAAGACCCUGUGGAGCUUUAGUUUGGUGUUAAAGCAUAAUAAAAAGACUUAAGUUGGGGCAACUAUUGUUAAAAAUUAAAACAACAAUAAACUAUUAAUAAAAUUGAAUUUUUUAUGACCUAAAAGUUUUUAAUAAUUAGAAAAAGUUACCCCAGGGAUAACAGCGUAAUUUUUCUUGAAAGUACGUAUUGACAGAGAAGUUUGCGACCUCGAUGUUGGAUCAGGGCCUCCUGAAGGUGCAGCAGCUUUCAAGGGUUGGUUUGUUCAACCAUAAAAGCCCUACGCGAUCUGAGUUCAGACCGGCGUAAGCA